rnacentral:misc_RNA from 1 species
GCAAGGGAGGCAGCUGCU